AGGAUCAUUACUGAAUUGUCAACAAGAGUUGUUGCUGGUCCUCAAGUGGGGGCAUGUGCACACUCUGUUCACACAUCCACUCACACCCUGUGCACCCUCUGUAGUUCUAUGGUUCAGGGGGCCUGUCCUCCUGCUGUGGUUCUGCAUCUUUACACACACACUGUAACAAAGUCUCAUGGAAUGCAUGUCGCGUUUAACGCAAUACAAUACAACUUUCAGCAACGGAUCUCUUGGCUCUCGCAUCGAUGAAGAACGCAGCGAAAUGCGAUAAGUAAUGUGAAUUGCAGAAUUCAGUGAAUCAUCGAAUCUUUGAACGCACCUUGCGCCCUUUGGCCAUUCCGAAGGGCAUGCCUGUUUGAGUAUCAUGAACACCUCAACCCAUUAUGGUUUUCCAUGAUGAGCUUGGACUUUGGGGGUUUUGCUGGCCUACAGUCGGCUCCUCUAAAAUAAAUCAGCUUACCAGUGUUUGGUGGGUAUCAUGGGUGUGAUAACUAUCUACGCUUGUGGUUUUUCCACCAGGUAACCUUCAGCAGUGGAGGUUCACUGGAGCUCAUAGAUGUCUCUCCUCAGUGAGGACAGCCCCUUGAAUGGUUGAUCUCAAAUCAAGGAGGACUACCCGCUGAACUUAA
rnacentral:rRNA from 1 species